rnacentral:ribozyme from 13 species
UGAAAAAUUAAAAUUCCAGUGAGCGAAAAAAAAGAAAAAAAAAGAAAACAGGGCAACUUUCCUCUGCUUUGCUUCUCUCCAACUUCUCACUUUUU